rnacentral:lncRNA from 1 species
ACACUACCAGACAAUAAAGAUCGUCCAUCUAUUACUUCUACGUUGUCGUAAUACGUGAAGUCUGGCUUGAGAAUGCUCCGGGCACCUGGCUGUGGAAGGAAUAAUGGAAAUUGUAAUAACAAAAUCCUAAUUCUAAUAGAAUACUAACAAUGCUAUAAUUAGACUAUAAUAAUGCUAAACAAGCUUAAUCAAAUUCAAAAAAAACUCAAAGAAAUUUCAAACAAACAAUAGGAAUUUUUAAAGAAACAUUAGAAAGAACACAAAUGUCAUUCAAAUACAUCUCAAUUCAAUCUUAAUUUAAUUCUAGUUAAAAUCCUAUUAAACUUCAUUCAAACUUUAAGCCAAACUAAUUGAAUCUUAAAUCCUAAUAAAAUCCUAAAUCCUAAAUCAAACUCUAACCAAAUCCUAAAUCCUAAAUCAAACCCUAAUCAAAUCCUAAAUCAAAUCCUAAUCCAAAUCCUAAACCCUAAACCAAACCCUAAUCCAAACCCUAAAUCCUAAACCAAAUCCUAAACCAAAUCCUAAACCAAACCCUAAUCUAAACCCUAAACCCUAAACCAAACCCUAAACAAACCCUAAAGCCUAAAUCAAACCCUAAUCCAAAUCCUAAACCCCAAAUCAAAUCCUAACCAAACACUAAACCAAAUCUUAAUAAUUCCUACAACAGAUUUAAACCUCAACAACUAAUGAAUAAACCGUUGAUCUUAACUCAAAUUUUUCACACUUCUAAAAAAAUAAGUUAAAAACAAGUAAAAAAAAAGUUGAUAAGGAUCGGAGUUACCAAAUUGACGAUAUCUUCAAAAUUGUACUAGAGUAUUGGCCGGCCUCCUUCUCCAAACUUGAUGCCAAUCUUCCAGAGCCAAUAUCUCUCCUUUGCACCGUUCGAUUGAUUUGAAUAUUCUUAUACACAUAGAAAAACAAGUCUAAUAUCCUCUCACAUAAGUUUCACUCCAAUCCAACUAGUAGAUUGCAAGAAAUCUUUAAAAUCCUCACUAGACCUAAAAUUCUACUUUCUGAGACCUUGACCCACUUAAA